rnacentral:rRNA from 1 species
UUGACCUCAGAUCAGGUAGGAAUACCGCCUGAACUUAAGCAUAUCAAUAAGGCGAGGAACAGAAACCAACAGGGAUUCCCUCAGUAGUGGCGAAUGAAGCGGGAAAAGCUCAAGUUUGAAAUCUGGUUAUAAAUCAGAGUUGUAAGCUGAUGAGACGUCGACCGACGCGGUUCGGGCUCAAUUUCCUUGGAACAGGAGGUCAUGGAGGGUGAGAACCCCGUCUGUGGCUUGGGUGCCGUCGUCCUUGUGUCUUGCCCUCGUAGAGUCGGGUUGUUUGGGAAUGCAGCUCAAAAUGGGUGGUAAAUUUCAUCUAAAGCUAAAUACUGGCGAGAGACCGAUAGCGAACAAGUAGAGUGAUCUAAAGAUGAAAAGUACUUUGAAAAGAGAGUGAAACAGUACGUGAAAUUGUUGAAAGGGAAGCGUUUGGCAUCAGCCCAUGGCGCCCAAAGAUCAUCCGGGCUUCUGUCCGGUGCACUUUUUGGGCGUCGGGCCAGCGUCGACUUUGCCUGCUGGAGAAAGGCCUUGGGGAUGUGGCUCCCUUCGGGGAGCGUUAUAACCCUUGGCGUCAUGCAGUGUGGUGGGGUCGAGGUCCACGG